CUGCUGUUGCUGUUGCUGCUGGUGUUGCUGGUGUUGCUGCUGCUGUUGUUGCUGCUGCUGUUGUUGGUGAUGAUGGAGCUGUUGCGCCUGCGCAGGCGCUGGCAACUGUUGCUGUUGUUGUUGCUGUGCAUAC